UAAUAGCGUAUAUUAAAGUUGUUGCAGUUAAAAAGCUCGUAGUUGGAUUUUGGAUGUUCACGAUGCGUCCUUUUCCCGAAAUGGGGAGGAAUAGUUAUUGUGGAUAUCUUCCAUUCGAAGAUGCAGUUUCCUCUUAACUGAGUGGAAUUGUAGAUUCGGAGAUUUUACCUUGAAGAAAUUAGAGUGUUCAAAGCAGGCAAUGUGCAAUUGAAUAUAUUAGCAUGGAAUAAUACUAUAGGAUUUUCUUCCUAUUUUGUUGGUUUUUUGGAAGAAGAUUGAUUGAUUGAUAGGGAUAGUUGGGGGUGUUUGUAUUGCGUCGUUAGAGGUGAAAUUCUUGGAUCGAUGCAAGACAAACUAGUGCGAAAGCAUUCACCAAGGAUGUUUUCAUUAA
rnacentral:rRNA from 1 species